GGCUGGUCCAAGUGCAGUGGUGUUUUCAACUAAUUAAUCACAACUGGUUACAGAUUUUUUUGUUCCUUCUCCACUCCGACUGUUUCACUUGACUAGCCUUAC
ensembl:Y_RNA Y_RNA Y RNA